rnacentral:tRNA from 1 species
GUAGAUAUAGUUUAAGAAAAACACUAGAUUGUGGUUCUAGAAAUAAAGGUUAAAGUCCCUUUAUCCACC